AUAGAAUAUUCAUUUAUACCGUAGACAGCAGGUGCCAAUCCCGCGCUUAAUUUCCUGCCGAGGUGUAUAUCUCACAGUUUUUACGUACAUCGUAUAAUUGUAUAUACAGCCUCCAUGCCUAUGGAGGCUUUUUAUAUGAAAUC
rfam:Bacillus gobiensis strain FJAT-4402 chromosome.